UACGUAGGGGGCAAGCGUUGUCCGGAAUCAUUGGGCGUAAAGAGCGCGUAGGCGGUCCGGUAAGUCCGCUCUGAAAGUCCGGGGCUCAACCCCGGAAGGCGGGCGGAUACUGUCGGGCUAGAGUCCGGAAGAGGCGAGUGGAAUUCCUGGUGUAGCGGUGAAAUGCGUAGAUACAGGAGGAACACCAGUGGCGAAAGGCGGCUCCUGGGCCG
rnacentral:rRNA from 1 species